ACAGUAGCCGCGGGAAUACGAAGGGUGCAAGCGUUGCUCGGAAUUACUGGGCGUAAAGCGUGCGUAGGUGGUGGUUUAAGUCCGUUGUGAAAGCCCUGGGCUCAACCUGGGAAUUGCAGUGGAUACUGGGUCACUAGAGUGUGGUAGAGGAUAGUGGAAUUUCCGGUGUAGCAGUGAAAUGCGUAGAGAUCGGAAGGAACAUCUGUGGCGAAGGCGACUAUCAGGGACAACACUGACGCUGAAGCACGAAAGCGUGGGGAGCAAACAGGAUUAGAUACCCGCGUAGUCCCUGUCUCUUAUACA
rnacentral:rRNA from 1 species